rnacentral:rRNA from 1 species
GGCCUAACACAUGCAAGUCGAACGAUAGUGAGAAGCUUGCUUCUCACAAAAGUGGCGCACGGGUGCGUAACGCGUGGGAAUCUGCCCCUUGGUUCGGAAUAACAGUUGGAAACGACUGCUAAUACCGGAUGAUGACGUAAGUCCAAAGAUUUAUCGCCGAGGGAUGAGCCCGCGUAGGAUUAGCUAGUUGGUGUGGUAAAGGCGCACCAAGGCGACGAUCCUUAGCUGGUCUGAGAGGAUGAUCAGCCUCACUGGGACUGAGACACGGCCCAGACUCCUACGGGAGGCAGCAGUGGGGAAUAUUGGACAAUGGGCGCAAGCCUGAUCCAGCCAUGCCGCGUGGAUGAUGAAGGCCCUAGGGUUGUAAAGUCCUUUCGGCGGGGAAGAUAAUGACGGUACCCGCAGAAGAAGCCCCGGCUAACUUCGUGCCAGCAGCCGCGGUAAUACGAA